rnacentral:piRNA from 1 species
UGGAGAUUAUAACUGAGGCUGUG